UACGGGGGGGGCAAGCGUUGUCCGGAAUUACUGGGCGUAAAGGGCUCGUAGGUGGCCAACUAAGUCGGACGUGAAAUCCCUCGGCUUAACCGGGGAACUGCGUCCGAUACUGGUUGGCUUGAGUUUGGGAGAGGGAUGCGGAAUUCCAGGUGUAGCGGUGAAAUGCGUAGAUAUCUGGAGGAACACCGGUGGCGAAGGCGGCAUCCUGGACCAACACUGACGCUGAGGAGCGAAAGCCAGGGGAGCAAACGGG
rnacentral:rRNA from 1 species